rnacentral:rRNA from 1 species
GUAACGCGUAGGUAACCUGCCUUGUAGCGGGGAUAACUAUUGGAAACGAUAGCUAAUACCGCAUAACAAUGGGUGACACAUGUCAUUAUUUGAAAGGGGCAACUGCUCCACUACAAGAUGGACCUGCGUUGUAUUAGCUAGUAGGUGAGGUAACGGCUCACCUAGGCGACGAUACAUAGCCGACCUGAGAGGGUGAUCGGCCACACUGGGACUGAGACACGGCCCAGACUCCUACGGGAGGCGCAUG